rnacentral:rRNA from 1 species
AGUGAACGCUGGCGGUAGGCCUAACACAUGCAAGUCGAACGGCAGCACAGUAAGAGCCUGCUCUUACGGGUGGCGAGUGGCGGACGGGUGAGGAAUACAUCGGAAUCUACUUUUUCGUGGGGGAUAACGUAGGGAAACUUACGCUAAUACCGCAUACGACCUACGGGUGAAAGCAGGGGAUCUUCGGACCUUGCGCGACUGAAUGAGCCGAUGUCGGAUUAGCUAGUUGGCGGGGUAAAGGCCCACCAAGGCGACGAUCCGUAGCUGGUCUGAGAGGAUGAUCAGCCACACUAGAACUGCGACACGGUCCAGACUCCUACGGGAGGCAGCAGUGGGGAAUAUUGGACAAUGGGCGCAAGCCUGAACCAGCCAUACCGCGUGGGUGAAGAAGGCCUUCGGGUUGUAAAGCCCUUUUGUUGGGAAAGAAAAGCAGCAGGUUAAUACCCCGCUGUUCUGACGGUACCCAAAGAAUAAGCGCCGGCUUACUUC